rnacentral:ncRNA from 3 species
UACGUAGGUGGCAAGCGUUGUCCGGAUUUAUUGGGCGUAAAGCGAGCGCAGGCGGAAUGAUAAGUCUGAUGUGAAAGCCCACGGCUCAACCGUGGAACUGCAUCGGAAACUGUCAUUCUUGAGUGCAGAAGAGGAGAGUGGAACUCCAUGUGUAGCGGUGGAAUGCGUAGAUAUAUGGAAGAACACCAGUGGCGAAGGCGGCUCUCUGGUCUGCAACUGACGCUGAGGCUCGAAAGCAUGGGUAGCGAACAGG